rnacentral:rRNA from 1 species
AUGCCGAUGCUGGAUGACAAUAGUCCAGAGACCUCCAUCGGAGCCUGCUUGCUCACCAACGUCCGCCCCGGCAUCUGGAUUGCUGACAUGCACAUGGUGCAAUGCCCCGACGAUGACGACCACGGAUGCCAAGGUGAUGAUGCUAGGCUGGAGGUUCUGGAUGCGCGGCACUGCGAGCUGUACCUGGAGAACAAGUUCAGGGAUGGGACCUGGGAGUACGAGGACCUUGGCAGUCACUUGAGCAACGGGCAGCUAGAUACCGCCGCCGCUGCCAUCUUCAACCGCCACUACUUCAAUACUCCACGCGUCAAAAAUAUUCUCGAUGCCCAGUCCUGGAUCCGGGGUCGCUCCAACCUGCUGCCCAGGGCGUACCUCACCCCAGUUGGCGUCGCCCUCAGCACCAACCUGAUGCCCAAUCGAGAGUUGUUGUCGAGGUUCGAGGCAAUGCGAGAUACCACGAGGGACGGGCAGAUCGUGUCUGUCAGGAUCACGCAACACCUCCUCCUGUGA